rnacentral:ribozyme from 1 species
CCACGAAAAAGAGAACAAAAGAAGAAAUGAAAGAUGAAGAGAGCGUGCACUUCACUUACCUCUCUUCAUAUUUCAUUUGUCUUUUGUUCUUCUUUUUCUUAUCUUGU